rnacentral:rRNA from 1 species
UACGUAGGGCGCAAGCGUUAUCCGGAAUUAUUGGGCGUAAAGCGCACGUAGGCGGCUUUUUAAGUCAGGGGUGAAAUCCCGGGGCUCAACCCCGGAACUGCCCUUGAAACUGGAGAGCUAGAAUCUUGGAGAGACGAGUGGAAUUCCGAGUGUAGAGGUGAAAUUCGUAGAUAUUCGGAAGAACACCAGUGGCGAAGGCGACUCGCUGGACAAGUAUUGACGCUGAGGUGCGAAAGCGUGGGGAGCAAACAGG